UGUGUGUGUGUGUGUGUGUGUAUAAUAUAAACCAAAUACAACCAGAUCCAUUAACACUUGAUGAAUUUAGGUGAAACUCACACUUACGUAUGGAAAAUCCCAGAAAGAUCUGGAGCUGGAACAGAGGAUUCUGCUUGUAUUCCAUGGGCUUAUUAUUCAACUGUGGAUCAAGUUAAGGACCUCUACAGUGGAUUAAUUGGCCCCCUGAUUGUUUGUCGAAGACAUUACUUGAAAGUAUUCAAUCCCAGAAAGAAACUGGAAUUUGCCCUUCUGUUUCUAGUUUUUGAUGAGAAUGAAUCUUGGUACUUAGAUGACAACAUCAAAACAUACUCUGAUCACCCCGAGAAAGUAAACAAAGAUGAUGAGGAAUUCAUAGAAAGCAAUAAAAUGCAUGCUAUUAAUGGAAGAAUGUUUGGAAACCUACAAGGCCUCACAAUGCAUGUGGGAGAUGAAGUCAACUGGUAUCUGAUGGGAAUGGGCAAUGAAAUAGACUUACACACUGUACAUUUUCAUGGCCAUAGCUUCCAAUACAAGCACAGGGGCGUUUAUAGUUCUGAUGUCUUUGACAUUUUCCCUGGAACAUA
rnacentral:sRNA from 1 species